rnacentral:misc_RNA from 1 species
CCUGCUCAUGCCUUCAUGGCUUGCAAGCUCUGCUUCACUCCCAUUCCUGACUUUCCCCUCGCACGUAGAAAAUUUUCCAAGUUCCCGCAAAGAAUUUCACUGAAUAUCUCUCCUGGGUAUUGCUCUUUCAAGUUCCUUUCAAGCUCCAGAAGAGUAUUUUCGUCUUCAUUAGUUGUUCACGCUGCGAAAGAAGAAGUGAUUCAAUCACCAAAUUCAGUUUCUACCCUUGAUUCUAAAACUACCCUUCCUUCAUCCUCCAAGCUCGUUCUUGUUGUUGGCGGUACUGGCGGUGUUGGGCAGUUGGUAGUGGCAUCAUUGCUUGACCGGAAUAUUAAGUCACGCUUAUUACUACGAGAUCCUGAAAAAGCAACUGCACUGUUUGGCAAACAAGAUGAGGAGACAUUGCAGGUAC